rnacentral:rRNA from 1 species
ACAAUGGAGAGUUUGAUCCUGGCUCAGGAUGAACGCUAGCGGCAGGCCUAAUACAUGCAAGUCGAACGGUAGACAUCUUUC